rnacentral:sRNA from 1 species
CUCUUCACUUCUUUUCUCUCACAGUCUUCUUCAGUGCUCUCUCCUCUCUCUCUCUCUGAGUUUGUGCUGAGUCAUAUGACUGCAAGAUGUCACAGAGAACACAGUCUUUUCUUCACUCUUCUCUUUAUUUUCUUUUUCAGAACACUCUCUUUUUCUCUUUUCUUUUAUCUAUUUCAUCUGUCUUUUCUCUGCUGUUAGAAGCACAGACAGUUCUCAGAUCAACUGAGAGAGUUAUUUCUCUUCAUUCACUAUAAAGUCUUUCAGACACAGCAGUGGUGGUUCCCUCAGAAACCACACUAUAGCCUCAUCAUGAAUGACCAUACAUC